GCCUUCGUGGUGUAAUGGUUAGCACACUGAGCCGGUAUUUCAGAGGUCCGCGGUUCGAUUCCCGGCGAAGGCA
rfam:Stegodyphus mimosarum contig106089, whole genome shotgun sequence.